AAACAUAUCCAUUGAUCGUCUAUUCUUGCACGGUUUCGUCCCCCACCUCGGUGGAACGCUGUGGAAGCCGCCGCAGGUCGCCGCCAUUUUGUAGACAACUGCGCAGCUUGGCCCCGUUUGCCCGCGGCUAUAUAAGGCCCCCAUGACGUCAGCGCCCUCAUUGAUUUCCCAUCCUCGGUGUAGUUUGAACGUGCGCUUGUGAUGUGAAGUGACCAGUUUUUCAAGAAGUGAACUCUCUAUAGCCUGUCGGAUUCAGUCCCAUUGCGUUUCGCGUGGGUCUGCAUCCGUCGGCCGCCAUCUUGGCUGCCGCUGGGCGUGGUCGCUGCUAACUGCAAAAUGGGUUUGUAACGGUAUCAUGCAUUUAUUUAUUUAGUCUUUUAAUAUUGUACCUUAAUGUUUCAAUUUUUUUCUAUUGCUUAAUGGUAAAAUUGGAAUCAAAGUUUUAUUCAUAUUGAAUAAGAAAAUUGUAACAUAUGUUUAAGUAUGAAAAUAAAAGAAUUUUUAAAAAAAUAUUGUCGUAUUUCUGUACUUCAUUUUCUUUUUAUUUACUUGUGAUUUCACCACGCACAAAUGUAUUAUUCCAUGAGUCAUCGUCACAACGUGGAGAGAUAUGGACAUGUUGCUGGCGUCACGUGAUCGAGUUCGAGUGUUAGUCUGCUGAGUGGCGACUAGCUGUGGCGCAUCGGUUGCUUGCUGCACAUGCUACACCUGCACACUGGUGCUGCUCGUGGUAAACGCCGCGGAAACGAGUCCCUAUAGUCCCGGUUGUCAGCCCACUAGGUAAACGUUAGGCGAUUGCGUCACAAUUACAUUCUGUUUAGGAAAUGUCAAGGGCCCGCGCGCGGGCCCAUUCGUAUAACCUUGUCUUUAGACCUCAGAUGACAGCCAUUUCUACUUGAAACGCUGCCGCAUCGGCCUUCAACAGGGCUACGGCUGACUACUGCGUGAGCGCACGCGGAAACUUCCAUAGUAUCGAUCGUCUAUACCUAUGACUAAUAAGAUGACGUAGAUGGUGAGUCGUUUGUUGUUUACAAGAAUUAACUAUUAGAAAAGUUGAAACAACUUGGUUAAUUUUCAAUAUAAACAUAUCUAGUUAGUAGCUAUAUGAUUGUAGCAUAUCUGUCAUAUCAAAAGGAAUGCCUGCGGGCAUUAUUAGGUAAAUAAUGUUACACCCAUACAGGCAUACGAAAGCACGCGUUCCUACUACCGUGGUGGUACCGUUGCAAACGUUACGAAGACUAGAAACAAGCUGUAAUUGGUAUUCGACCAACUGCUGGUGUUUUAACGACCCGGCAGUCCACAGCGGCCGUCAUGACGGCGGCAGCUUUCACUAUUUAGCUGACUGGAUUGGGAACUGAGGCAGUCGUGAACCACGAAUUCACGUCUCCCACCCAUAAAACAAAAGCAAGGUGAAGCCCUCAAGCCGAAGGCUAGCCAGAAUCCAGUUGACAUUAGAGAGGACCAUCGACACCUCACCCAGAUAAGUCGUAUUGGUCAUAGUCGGUUACAUUAGUUGCAAUCUAUAGCUUUCGCAAAAAACUAUUAAAACACUGCAUUCAAGGAAAAAAGUCCCAGUACACAAAAAUAGAAAGUUAUAGCAAUUCUUCGAAUAUAAAGUUAAUAUAACACUAAUAUUUGUGAACGACCCACCAAGUAAUACUAAAUUUAUAAAGGAAUCUCUUAAGACAAAUGUAGAAUGAACGAUAUAUUUAAUUAGGCAAUAGAUAUCAUUUGGACUCGUGGUGAAAUCGCACAAUCCCAACUAUAUCUUACAUAAUGAAUUAAACUUAUCCUUACAAAAUAUUGAAAUUAAGUCAUUAAAUAAAACAAACAUCUGAUGAUCGAGGAAUAAAAUUUGGAUGAACAUACAUCAUCUACCUGUACACAUCAAUUCUUAAGUAUAAACAAC